GGACGGGAAGGCAAUCUGGCUGACAUGUCUUUUGCCCCAGUGAUUGCUGAUUGCCAGGGUUGAUUGGCUUAUGUGACUGACUAGGUGAGGGUCCCCUUCCUCCCUCACUGUCCCAUGCCAGCUGUCCUGAAGCUGCAUGCUCAGUCGAUGAGGAUGGCCUUUCCCAUAAUAGAAGGACCAUUCUUAGGUCAAGGAUAUCUAUGUAGCGGUGGUCUCCUGCUUAUAAUCUCCAAACAGCAUUUUCAAGUUUAGGUUUAUGCAGAACCAGAAAGUUGCUUAGCUUAGCUAAGAAGGUUUUAUAGGCUUUCCUC
rnacentral:snRNA from 1 species